GAUGAACGCUGGCGGCGUGCCUAAUACAUGCAAGUCGAGCGAACCUACUAUAAGCUUGCGUCUCUGAAGUUAGCGACGGACGGGUGAGUAACGCGUGGAUAACCUACCUAUAAGACUCCUAUACCUUCGGGAAACCGGAGCCAAUACCACAUAAUAUAUUAAACCACAAGCAUAAUUACUGAAAGACGAUUUUGCAAUAAGUUAUUGAUCUACCCGCGCCGCAUUAGCUAGUUGGUAAGGUAACGGCUUACCAAGUCAACGAUGCGUAGCCGAACUGAGAGGGUGAUCGGCCACACUGGAACUGAGACACGGUCCAGACUCCUACGGGAGGCAGCAGUAGGGAAUCUUCCGCAAUGGGCGAAAGCCUGACGGAGCAACGCCGCGUGAGUGAAGAAGGUCUUCGGAUCGUAAAACCCUGUUAUUAGGGAAGAAAGUAUGUGUAAGUAACUGUGCACGUCUCGACGGUACCUAACCAGAAAGCCACGGCUAACUACGUG
rnacentral:rRNA from 1 species